rnacentral:lncRNA from 1 species
ACCAAUAUUUACUCACUUUCAAAAGCUAAAUCUCCUAAAACGUAUGCUUUUAUACUUACAAAAAGAAUAAAAACAUCUUAUACCAAGGCCAUUAAAUUCUAAUCUUUUAAUCCCAAAAAUAAAUCUUCUUCCAACAACUCGUAGAACCGCACAAACCAUAUUUCCAGCAAUGAUGAUUUAAACAUGUCCAUCCUACAAAAGAAGAUAAAUAUAAUUAUAUAUUGAUAAAAAGAAGUUGUAAAGUACAAAACUACAAUUAAUAAAGAAAAAUAGGGAACCAAACAUGCCUAUUGUCCACUUACUAAAUAUUGCAACCACUUCACCACCGAAAAAAUUACAUUCUACAAACUGUUGUAUAUAAACAUUUAGCUAAAAGAAAAUUGAAUAUAAGUUUCAAAAUUAUCAGAUCAAGAGAACUACUUCAAAUAGAAUUGAAUCAAUUGAGUUGUAAAUCAUUCAAAUAUUCCACAUCAAAGCUGAAUGCUCCCCCAAACAAUGUUGAUGUACCUGAACCUACUAAAUACUCCCAAAGUUACAAUACUAUAGUCAAACCAAAUACCAUAUGAAUAUUGAUUCAAGUAAAUAGACUCAUUUGUGCAUGCAGACAAGAUAUUUAUUGUUUAUAUGAAAGAUAAAGUUACUUAGCAUGACUUGUAGGACUUGCCUCAUAUACUUCUUCCAAAAUAUAGCACUAUAAGAUCAACAAGUAUAAAUGGUAGCAAAAAUGUGAAGGCCGUAAAACAGAGUAGGGGAAACAAAAGAUACAAUUCACUAUGUGACACUGGUUCCAUCAAUUUCAAUCUCCUCCAUAGUUUUUCCAAUUCAUUGACAAAAUCAAGAAUCCUCAAAUAGCUUGGUGAAAUAGAAAGGAGACUCUGAGUAGUACACUCGAAAGAAUUCAGCAUUACUAGCUAUGUAGGCAAUGUCCAAGAUAUAAAAUAUAGCGGACCAACAAAAAAAUUGUAGACUGAACAGAGUUAGUUUUUAAAAAAUGAAUAGACUUAACUAGUUGUGCGUUUGAAAUUACACAGUAAGACCAGCUCUAUCGAAAACAUGUACAACAGUCAUGCCAUAAUCAAAAUUAUAAGUUGCAAGAUAUAUUGGACCAUCAUAAGAAAAAAGAGAUGCAUUCGGUAAUCGAUAGUGUCAGAACAGAGACAAUAGCCUUUUUCCUUGAGUUUCUUCCUAGGUUGCCUAACAUAAAAAAGGAUAAAGGUAGGCCAUGGUUUGAAAUCUUUAACUAAUAUUCCUAUGUGAUUAGAGAACAAUCCACUCAAGCUAUUAUAGAAAGAACCAAAUUCUCUAUAUAUGAAAUUUGUAAAGAGUAAUUUCUUACUUUAUGCUAAGUUAAAAUCUUUUUUUCUCAAAACAAGUACUGGUGAAUACAAUGAGAAUUGUAAAUGACUAAGUGAUCUUUAGAAAAAUCAGUAGAUCAAUUGUUCAGAUAUUUAAGACAAUUAUCAAUAAACUAAUUAACUUGUAGAAAUUGGGCUUAGGGAUCAAGGAAACAUAUACUAUGAACUGUUGCAUUUUGUACUGAUUUCUCUUUGCAGAUCAAAGGUUUCAUUUCUUAUUGAUUAACUCAUGAAUAUUUAUUUAUAUGUGUUUAAAUCUCUACUGCACAUUAAACAAUAAAGGUUUCUAUUAAAGCAGAGUAUUACUUCAUUUUCUCCAUCUCAUGUUUAUUAGCAAGAGUUUUUCUCUCCGCACUUGUGAUAUCCUGAGAAUAAAGGAGGGAAGUAUAAUUGGUAGUAUAGAUAAUUCAAGAGCAAUUAUACACAAAUAUACAAGUGGAACUACUAACCGGCCCUAGCAGCUUAUUAAAAAAUAGUGAAUGAAUGAUAAUUGGUAGCACAAAUAAGGCUUUAUGGAUAUAAAACACAAAGAUUUAUUUCUUGAAAUCCCUGUAGUAUUGGAAAAAGUUUAUUCUUCUGGUUUUUUGCUCACUUGUAAUUACUACAACACUUUCUUAGUGCUAGUUUUAUAAUAUAAUUACCUUUCUAUAAAAAAAUGGAAUUACUUCUUGAACCUCAAAAUUCUUUGGUGAAAGACACUAAGAUUUAUCAAUAAAACUAAGGAACAAAAAAGUCACUAGAGUUUUAAUUUCAACAAGGCAACUAAUCAUGUUAAGCUCCUAGUUGAAAUCACAGUAAUUGUUAGAUUUCACCAAAUUUUCUAAGAGAACAGAUAACAUCUAAUCUCACAAAAUAUCCAAUCCCUUGGAACCCGAAAAGCCCAUUGAAACCAGAGAUCCAAAUAUGACAUCUUCCUUAAGAUGAAUAGUUGAUAGUAAUACUCAGAUCACCAAAUGUAACUAUUUUCACUCCGAGUUUUCAUCACUAAUAAGGAUAGAAUCAGUACAAUUGAAAUGCAUUAAAUCAAUUUUCAAACAUAGAUGCUAAAGAAACGAAUAUAGACAAAGCAGAACCUUUUACAGUUAGAUGUGGAAAUCAAAGUACCACAACCAAAGAGAGACUUCCGUCCACAAAGCCAGAAACAACCUAUUCUUUAGGAGUAUUACAACCUCAAAAAUAUAGCCAAAGCAGAUGCCAAAAUCUACAUCUAUCCCAAUUCCAAAAAGCACAAAUAUACUAAAAAUAUAAAAUUAUAGUCACAAUCUGCUUGUGGAUCUAUCAAUCAAUAGAAAAGAACAUAAUAUUUUUUUUAAAAAAAAGUAAAAUAGAUAUAUCAACCGAAUAAGGCAUGAGACCAUUGAUUAGAACUGGAAUGGAGCUCUAAGUACUGAUGUGGAUGGACCACACUAUCAUUAUUUAGAACCUGCAAGAAAAUGGUUUAUUUGAUGCCCU